rnacentral:rRNA from 1 species
UAGGGCCUACGGGACGCAGCAGUGAGGAAUAUUGGUCAAUGGUCGGGAGACUGAACCAGCCAAGCCGCGUGAGGGAUGAAGGUACAGAGUAUCGUAAACCUCUUUUGUCAGGGAACAAAGGCGGGGACGCGUCCCCGGAUGAGUGUACCUGAAGAAAAAGCAUCGGCUAACUCCGUGCCAGCAGCCGCGGGAAUACGGAGGAUGCGAGCGUUAUCCGGAUUUAUUGGGUUUAAAGGGUGCGCAGGCGGUAUGUUAAGUCAGCGGUCAAAGCCCGGGGCGCAACCCCG